rnacentral:rRNA from 1 species
UACGAAGGUCCCGAGCGUUGUUCGGAAUCACUGGGCGUAAAGGGCGCGUAGGCGGCGCGGUAAGUCAGAUGUGAAAUCCCGGGGCUCAACCCCGGAACUGCAUCCGAUACUGCCGUGCUAGAGUAAUGGAGAGGUAGCUGGAAUUCUUGGUGUAGCAGUGAAAUGCGUAGAGAUCAAGAGGAACACUCGUGGCGAAAGCGAGCUACUGGACAUUUACUGACGCUGAGGCUCGAAGGCUAGGGUAGCGAAAGGG